GGAGGGAUGGCCGAGUGGUCGAAGGCGGCGGUCUUGAAAACCGUUAAGCAGCAAUGCUUCGGGGGUUCAAAUCCCUCUCCCUCCG
rnacentral:tRNA from 1 species